rnacentral:tRNA from 11 species
GCCUAGUGGUAAAGGCGUUGGGCUCAUAUCCCAAUGGUCGCGCGUUCAAGCCCGA